rnacentral:tRNA from 1 species
GCCCAGAUGGCGGAAUUGGUAGACGCGUUGGUCUCAAACACCAAUGGAUGCAAGUCCUUGUCGGUUCGAUCCCGACUCUGGGUACUA